UUGCUCCCUUCGGCAGCACAUAUAAUAAAAUAGGAAUAAUACAGAGAAGAUUAUUAUGGUCUCUGCACAAGGAAGACAUGCAAAUUCAUGGAGGGUUCCAUAUUUUU